rnacentral:ncRNA from 1 species
AAAAAAAAAAAAAAAAAAAAGUAAAAUCAUUGCUCAAAUAUUAAUAUAAAUAUUAAUUUUAUGGCUUAGUUUAAUAAGUUAAUUAAUAGUUUUUGUAAUAGAGAUAUUUUUAAAAUUAGUUAAAUUUGUGCCAGCACCUGCGGUUAGACUAGGAAUUUAAUUAAUAUUUUUUAGGGUUUAUAAGUAGGGUUAUGUAUAAAAUCAUUUUUGGUGAAAUAUUUUUUGGAGGUUUGAUUGAAUUUAUUAAGAUGAUUUUUUGGUAAAGUAGGAUUAGAUACCCUAUUAUUUUAUUUUAGUUUUUUCUAAGGAUUAAAUAUAAAUUUAUAAGAUUUGGCGGCUAAAAUAAAUUAAAGGAGUUUGUUUUUAUUGGAUGUGACUCACUGAAUCUUACUUAUUUUAUUUAGUAUAUCGUCAUUUAAAUAGUUUAUAAUUAAUUAACUCUUCUAAUUUACUAAAAAAAAUUAGACCAUGGUGCAGAAAUAAAUAAGGGUAAAUUAACUACAAUAAUAUAUUAUUAAACUUGUCUUUUUUAAAUUAAAAUUGUAGGUGGAUUUAAUUGUAAUUAUAAGAACAUGAAAUUUAUUUUAGUGUACAAAUUGCCCGUCAUUCUCUAUGAGACAAGUCGAAACAAAGUAGAGCUAUCGGAAGUUGGAUCUA